CAGAAAGGAAUGCAGAUCGAUAUGUUGAAAAGGAACUUUCCUCCACCUGGCGGGGAGGAGUCUGUGUGUGUGAGCACAACUACCGAUGAAAUAUACGAGAAGAAAUGUGAAGUAACUCAAAAGAUAAAAUUUAUGCCAUAUCGUGGUGCAGGUUACAGCACCUUCUACCAACGAUAUUGGGUUGGCCGGAACAACAAGACCAUACAAACAACACCGUUCACCACACUACCACACGCAAAGUAUGAACUUCUGGCUUCUGGCUCGAACUGUGCCGUAGUUAGUGUGACCUUUAUUGGAGAUUCGGCCGAUACGACCACUAGCCAUAGCGACGGAGCAAAGGGAACACAAUGUGUUCUAUGGGUGAUGCACAAGGAUGUUCGUAAGCCAGAUGAGUGCUGCAAAAAGUACUUUGAAACAGAAUGUACAACUGGAACGCCAGAAGAGGUGUACAGUCCAGAUGAAUGUGAUACCGGCUCACGAAUAGUAUCAGUUUAGACGAAAAGAGACUAGCAAAACCAGCAGAAUGUAACAAUUCUUUAUUUCUCACCGGUAAAAAUAUCCCAAUAAAAGCUGCGGAAGCAAAAUGUUGGCUACAGUCAUACUCGCUGUCAAAAUUUGCGUAUGCUUGAUUUUGCAACGUUCAUUGACAUUACCGGCGAAAUUAAUUGAGCCUAAUCGCGGAGCCGUUCAGGAGUCCUAAACAAAAACAUGCUGUUUGGCUGACGCAGAUAAACAGAGACGUACCUUGCACAUAGCAACUACCUGAAAAUAAAAUUUACAACACAAGUAAUACGCCGAAUAAGCAGGGAAAAGGAGUGACAAAAUACAAACGCAUAUAAAAACGUCCCAGACAAGAGUAAUUGAAGGUGCUUGUGAAGCGAACAUCGUAGUUCAAAACGAAAGUCCAUAUAAAUGGCUUCUCUCGGUGAAAGUUUCUGCAAUAAGUAAAGUUGCAAUGAAAGCUUUUUGCGCCGAGCACCGAUUUCCCUCUACAAUUGUGGCUCCUAUUUUAGAGCUCAGUCUAUCAGUGAGCUUAGAGACAGAGCUGGUCUAAUGACGGUGAAACGAAAAAUGCAACAUAAUGGACUGCUAUUCUUUUUUCACAUACUGAAUGAAGACUACAGGGUUCACCUAAGGGAACACAUCGCACUACAGCCAUUUACCACAUCCAGAACAAAACGCUCGAAACAUAUCACACCACCUAGCUACUGAACAUAUUUAUACAAGUAUUCUUUUUUGGUUCGGAGCAUCGAUGACUGGAAUCGAUUGCCUCAAUACAUAGUCGAACAAUGCGAUUUACAAAGGUUCGAAAAGGCUUUGUCAGAAUAUUUGUAACUAAAUAGCUUGUUCCUUGUUGGUUGAAUAUGUUCAAUGUACUGUAUCAAUAUGUUCAAUAUGUACUAUGUCACUUUAAAUAUUUUUUCUCUUUUUAUUCUUUCUUUUUUGGAAACGUGUACGGAAUGUAUUCGAAUAUGUUUCUUUUUAUCGGUGACCUAUGCGGGAUGUAUUCUAAUAUAGUUUUGCGUUUUGUUUUAUUAUUUUCAUAUAGUGUGCCUUCUUGAGCGUACCAUGUGAAAUUUGUUUCCACAGUUGUUCUUUGUACAUGUCAGCUAUGUAACCCCAACUCCUGUCUUGGCCCUUGGGCGGACAGUAUGAAUAAAUAAAGAAAUAAUUAAAAAAAAUGUUUGACCUUUGGAAUGACUUGUAGAGAUUUCUCCUUUGCUGCAUGCAUUCUCCAUGAGAAUGACAGCUGAGAAUAUUGUACAUUCAUUAUUAGUAUACUUUGACUAGAUAAGAUAAUGCAACUCCUCUAACAUAGAGACGGCUUGGCCAUGCUGUUCAUAGAGGAGUAGACUGACAUAUCAGAUUUGCACAUGUAACAGGAAAAAAUAGCCUAUAAGGAUCGCAAGCGCUCUGUCAGACUGUGAUUGAUUGCAGCUAAUAAUCCUUGGAUUAAAAGAGCUAACUCAUGAAUUACUCAAAUGCAACCGACUACAGUUACGUUACUUUCCUUUCAGUUCUAAGCCCGCCUCGUUGAACGAUUGUGACACUCCUGUGGGAGUGUCACAAUCGACAGCGCAACGGAGUCAACACGGACAGAAAGAAGAGAAGGACACAGCGCUGAACUCACAACUAAAUUUAUUUUCGAAAAGAAAGAACAUAUAUACAGAUCAAUGAGUCACCAAGACCAAGCACGGGUGUAACAACACAAACAGAAUAAUCAUGUCUUGUCUAACAGAUACUUGUAUUCCUCAUCUAGAAGAAUGAUUGAUGGAUGACUUAUGCACUUGCUGUUACAUCUAAU
rnacentral:lncRNA from 1 species